CGACCUUAACUUCAGUGCGAGGACACUCUAGUCAAAAUGGCGGAGACUGAAAACGUGUCGUUAAAACAACUGUUUUCAUGGAUUACAAUGUGGGUGUUGCAGAAAAUAAAUAUGCUCCAUUAACUAGUGGAAUAUGGGUAUCUUUCAACAAGAUGAUGCUGAGGUGUAGUUAAGUCAUUAGGGAAAGAACUUGACAAAACCAGUUCCUGUAUCAUUUCCUGGCUUAUGAUGAAGUUGCACGAGCUGCACAGAGAGUACGUUUGGCUGCAAGUGGUGCCAUGUUGCGGGGACUGCGUGUCAGUGAUGCAGCACCAGCCUGCCCGGAUCAGACUACAGCUGCAGUUCAAUCCCCUGUCAAGUGUCCACAAUUGGAGACUACCUCCUUUGACACUGACGUGGUUGUACAUUCCGGCCAGAAUAAGAGCAUCAGUGUACGAGUGGC